GACGAACGCUGGCGGCGUGCUUAACACAUGCAAGUCGAACGAAGAGCGAUGGAAGCUUGCUUCUAUCAAUCUUAGUGGCGAACGGGUGAGUAACGCGUAAUCAACCUGCCCUUCAGAGGGGGACAACAGUUGGAAACGACUGCUAAUACCGCAUACGAUCUAAUCUCGGCAUCGAGGAAAGAUGAAAGGUGGCCUCUAUUUAUAAGCCAUCACUGAAGGAGGGGAUUGCGUCUGAUUAGCUAGUUGGAGGGGUAACGGCCCACCAAGGCGAUGAUCAGUAGCCGGUCUGGGAGGAUGAACGGCCACAUUGGGACUGAGACACGGCCCAGACUCCUACGGGAGGCAGCAGUGGGGAAUCUUCCGCAAUGGACGAAAGUCUGACGGAGCAACGCCGCGUGAGUGAUGACGGCCUUCGGGUUGUAAAGCUCUGUUAAUCGGGACGAAAGGCCUUCUUGCGAACAGUUAGAAGGAUUGACGGUACCGGAAUAGAAAGCCACGGCUAACUACGUG
rnacentral:rRNA from 1 species